rnacentral:rRNA from 1 species
ACGCACGCUAGCGGCGUGCUUAACACCUGCAAGUCGCACGGAAAGGCCCUGCUUUUGUGGGGUGCUCGAGUGGCGAACGGGUGAGUAACACGUGAGUAACCUGCCCUUGACUUUGGGAUAACUUCAGGAAACUGGGGCUAAUACCGGAUAGGAGCUCCUGCUGCAUGGUGGGGGUUGGAAAGUUUCGGCGGUUGGGGAUGGACUCGCGGCUUAUCAGCUUGUUGGUGGGGUAGUGGCUUACCAAGGCUUUGACGGGUAGCCGGCCUGAGAGGGUGACCGGCCACAUUGGGACUGAGAUACGGCCCAGACUCCUACGGGAGGCAGCAGUGGGGAAUAUUGCACAAUGGGCGGAAGCCUGAUGCAGCAACGCCGCGUGCGGGAUGACGGCCUUCGGGUUGUAAACCGCUUUCGCCUGUGACGAAGCGUGAGUGACGGUAAUGGGUAAAGAAGCACCGGCUAACUACGUG